GAAGCCCUGCCCUGCGCGUGAUGGGCCUUUUUAAACCCACAUUUAUAAUAAGGGAUGCCGGACUCUCCGGUCGGAUUGCAGGCCUCCCGCGCGGCGCGCACACGAGCUCUCACGAGAGCAUCCGUGUAAGCGCGUCGGCGGACGUUGGAAGCGAGAAAAUCAGGAGGAGGCAACCCACCUGCUUUUUUAUAUGACGCAGGGUUAUAAAUGGGCUCACACGGCAGGCGCGGGGCGUCU
rnacentral:other from 1 species